rnacentral:rRNA from 1 species
AGCGAACGCUGGCGGCAGGCUUAACACAUGCAAGUCGAGCGGACCUUUCGGGGUCAGCGGCGGACGGGUGAGUAACGCGUGGGAACGUGCCUUCCGGUUCGGAAUAACCCUGGGAAACUAGGGCUAAUACCGGAUACGCCCUUAUGGGGAAAGGUUUACUGCCGGAAGAUCGGCCCGCGUCUGAUUAGCUAGUUGGUGGGGUAACGGCCUACCAAGGCGACGAUCAGUAGCUGGUCUGAGAGGAUGAUCAGCCACACUGGGACUGAGACACGGCCCAGACUCCUACGGGAGGCAGCAGUGGGGAAUAUGGGACAAUGGGCGCAAGCCUGAUCCAGCCAUGCCGCGUGAGUGAUGAAGGCCUUAGGGUUGUAAAGCUCUUUUAUCCGGGACGAUAAUGACGGUACCGGAGGAAUAAGCCCCGGCUAACUUCGU